UACGUAGGGUGCGAGCGUUAAUCGGAAUUACUGGGCGUAAAGCGUGCGCAGGCGGUUUUGUAAGCCAGAUGUGAAAGCCCCGGGCUUAACCUGGGAACGGCGGUUGAAACUACAGGACUAGAAUCUGGCAGAGGGGGGUGGAAUUCCACGUGUAGCAGUGAAAUGCGUAGAGAUGUGGAGGAACACCGAUGGCGAAGGCAGGUCUCUGGGCCACUACUGACGCUGAGAAGCGAAAGCAUGGGGAGCAAACGGG
rnacentral:rRNA from 1 species